GACGAACGCUGGCGGCGUGCUUAACACAUGCAAGUCGAACGGAAAGGCCCUGCUUUUGUGGGGUGCUCGAGUGGCGAACGGGUGAGUAACACGUUAGUAACCUGCCCUUGACUUUGGGAUAACUUCAGGAAACUGGGGCUAAUACCGGAUAGGAGCUCCUGCUGCAUGGUGGGGGUUGGAAAGUUUCGGCGGUUGGGGAUGGACUCGCGGCUUAUCAGCUUGUUGGUGGGGUAGUGGCUUACCAAGGCUUUGACGGGUAGCCGGCCUGAGCGGGUGACCGGCCACAUUGGGACUGAGAUACGGCCCAGACUCCUACGGGGGGCAGCAGUGGGGAAUAUUGCACAAUGGGCGGAAGCCUGAUGCAGCAACGCCGCGUGCGGGAUGACGGCCUUCGGGUUGUAAACCGCUUUCGCCAGUGACGAAGCGUGAGUGACGGUAAUGGGUAAAGAAGCACCGGCUAACUACGUG
rnacentral:rRNA from 1 species